rnacentral:misc_RNA from 1 species
GUCCGAUCUCGUUCUCCCCCUCCUCUCACCGCCGAGAUCCCGGCGGUCGCCGUCGACGGCGCCUGAGCACUCCGCCCCGAUGCAGCCCCAGCUGGCAUCAUCGUCGGCAGCAGAUCCUCUGCAGCCUGAGGUUCUCAAGAAGGUUAUACCAUGGGAGACUUACAUGUCAGCGAAGCUCAUCACAGGAACGUGCCUACAACUGUUGAGGCGAUAUGAUAAAAAAUCAGAAAGCCAACAGACUGCCUUGCUUGAUGAUGAUGGGGCAGCCUAUGUUCGGGUUUUCGUGAACAUUUUACGUGAAAUUUCGGCGGAAGAAACAGUAGAAUAUGUGCUAGCUCUCAUUGAUGAAAUGCUCACAGCAAAUCCUAAGCGGGCAAGACUAUUUCAUGACAAGUCUCUGUCAACUCUUGAUGUGUACGGGACUUUCUUGGGACGGCUUUCGAAUGGAAACUGGUUCAUUCAAGAAAAGAGUUGUAGAAUAUUGUCUCUCAUUGUGAGCACUCGUCCGAAAAAAGGGGAGGCCAUUGUUGAAAAUGGUGAAGGCUCUUACUCAAAAUCCACAUAUACAGAUAUUGAUGAUGUCUUAAAGGGUCUGGUUGAUUGGCUCUGUUCCCAGUUGAAGAACCCGUCUCAUCCCAGCCGAGCUAUCCCAACAGCUAUAAAUUCUCUCGCCACCUUGCUAAGGGAAUCUCGUGUUAGAUCUUUGUUUGUCACUGCAGAUGGCGUGAAAUUGCUUAUUCCUUUGAUUUCACCUGCAUCAACUCAGCAGUCUAUCCAGCUUCUUUAUGAGACCUGUCUUUGUGUUUGGCUCUUGUCAUACUUUGAUGCAGCAGUGGACUAUCUGGCCACCACUAGGGUCCUUCCAAGGCUAAUGGAUGUCAUAAAAGGUUCUACUAAAGAAAAGGUUGUCAGAGUUGUCAUAUUGACCUUCAGGAAUUUGCUCGCCAAGGGGACAUUUGGUGCUCAGAUGAUUGAUCUUGGAUUACCACAAAUUGUCCAGAAUCUAAAAGCUCAGGCAUGGAGUGAUGAGGAUCUGAUCGAAGCAUUGAGCCAGCUAGAAGCAGGGCUGAAGGACAACAUUAAAAGAUUGAGUUCCUUCGAUAAAUAUAAGCAGGAAGUCCUUCUGGGUCAUUUGGAGUGGUCUCCCAUGCACAAGGAUCCAGGAUUCUGGCGUGAAAAUAUUACCAAUUUUGAAGAGAAUGAUUUUCAGAUUCUUCGUGUCCUCGUCACAAUCAUCGAUACGUCCAACGAUCCAACAGCUCUGGCUGUUGCCUGUUACGAUGUGUCCCAGUUCAUCCAGUACCACCCAGGUGGUCGAUUUAUUCUUUCAGAUCUGAA